CCUACGUGAGGCAGCAGUGAGGAAUCUUGGUCAAUGGACGAGAGUCUGAACCAGCCAAGUAGCGUGAAGGAUGACUGCCCUCUGGGUUGUAAACUUCUUUUAUAUGGGAAUAAAAUGUUCCACGUGUGGGAUUUUGUAUGUACCAUAUGAAUAAGGAUCUGCUAACUCCGUGCCAGCAGCCGCGGUAAUCCUGAGGAUCCGAGCGUUAUCCGGAUUUAUUGGGGUUAAAGGGCGCGUAGGUGGAUUGUUAAGUCAGUUGUGAAAGUUUGCGGAUCAACCGUAAAAUUGUAGUUGAAACUGGCAGUCGUGAGUACAGGAGAGGUGGGCGGAAUGCGGGGUGUAGCGGUGAAAUGCGUAGAUAUCACGAAGAACUCCGAUUGCGAAGGCAGGUCACUGGACUGCAACUGACACUGAGGCUCGAAAGUGUGGGGAUCAAACAGGAUUAGAUACCCCAGUAGUC
rnacentral:rRNA from 1 species